AGUGAACGCUGGCGGUAGGCCUAACACAUGCAAGUCGAGCGGCAGCACAGUAAGAGCUUGCUCUUACGGGUGGCGAGUGGCGGACGGGUGAGGAAUACAUCGGAAUCUACUUUUUCGUGGGGGAUAACGAAGGGAAACUUACGCUAAUACCGCAUACGACCUACGGGUGAAAGCAGGGGAUCUUCGGACCUUGCGCGAUUGAAUGAGCCGAUGUCGGAUUGGCUAGUUGGCGGGGAAAAGGCCCACCAGGGCGAGACUCCUUGGCUGGUGUGAGGGGAUGAUCAGCCCCACUGGACCUGAGACACGAUCCGGACUCCUAGGGAAGGCAGCGGGGGGGAAUAUUGGAAAAUGGGGACAAGCCUGAUCCAGCCAUACCGCGUGGGUGAAGAAGGCCUUCGGGUUGUAAAGCCCUUUUGUUGGGAAAGAAAACCAGCAGGUUAAUACCCCGCUGUUCUGACGGAACCCAAAGAAUAAGCACCGGCUAACUUCGG
rnacentral:rRNA from 1 species